AGGGUAUAUCUGCAAGUUGGAGUAGGAAGUAGGCUAUUUUUCUCGCUGCACUGGAAGUAGCAACUUGUUGUUAUCCCUGUCCCCGUGUUCGGAUCUUAUAAAUCAUUCUACGACAAUCACAAACCAUGAAGCCAAAGGAUUUUGCGAUAACCUGCUUUAUUUCCAUUCUCUUGAAUUGCUCAAUGAAAGGAUGUGGUUCAAGUUUGAAGUGCUGUUUUGAGAUUUUGAAGAACCACUCGGUUUCCUAUAAUCUUAGCGAGCCACCUGGAGCCUUGUGCACACCAACAUGGUCAGAAAUGGAAUUUGUUGUGGGUU